AGCGAACGCUGGCGGCAGGCCUAACACAUGCAAGUCGAGCGCCCGUAGCAAUACGGGAGCGGCAGACGGGAUAGUAACACGUGGGAACGUACCCUUCAGUUCGGAACAACCCAGGGAACGUUGGGCUAAUACCGAAUACGUCCGUAAGGAGAAGAUUUAUCGCUGAAGGAUCGGCCCGCGUCUGAUUAGCUAGUUGGUGAGGUAAUGGCUCACCAAGGCGACGAUCAGUAGCUGGCUGAGAGGAUGAUCAGCAUCACUGGGACGUGAGACACGGCCCAGACUCCUACGGGAGGCAGCAGUGGGGAAGUAUUGGACAAUGGGCGGCAAGCCUGAUCCAGCCAUGCCGCGUGGAUGAUGAAGG
rnacentral:rRNA from 1 species